UGCAGAUGAUGUGACUGAAUAUUUGCUAUCCGAGUCGCGGUGACGACCUCACACCACCAAGAUCGCUGAUGCG